AUGUGGAUUGAUACUCUCUUGUCUCAGAGGAAGAAAAAACAGGCCCCUAAACGUGGGCGCCGGGUCACAAUGAUCCUCUGUGCCCCUGACGUAUGGCAUCCUGGCACUGAUGUGCUCCUGGAAAAUUCUCAGGAUGACUAUCCACGCCAAAAGCUUUCAACCAAAAUCCCGGGAUGGCGUCCUCUGGGGCUCAUGCUUGAUGAUUCUGGGACUCGGUCUACAAAACGCUGAAAGAGAGAUGGCUGAAAGAACACACCAUGAGAAAAGGGAGAGUGAACAAACAGUGGUCUGAUUGAGCAGCGGGAGGACCGGAGCCUUUUGGAUUGCCCUGGUUACGGGGAAUAACAGCCACAAGUUACAUCAGCUUUCCACCUUAACAAUGAGCAGUGUUGGGCAACUCAAAGAGGAAAGUCUUAGUCAGUGUUAAAGGAGAAAAGGAAGGGCGGAGGGGAUGAGAAAAACACAUCAAAGAGAGACAAUUUAAACGUUUUAAACCGCAGCAACAAAUACAACGCCAUGUGCUCUUUUCUAUUAGUGUGUAUUUCUUGCACCGCAGCAUAAAGAUUUUAUAUGAUUCAUCACGCGUCUUAACUCUAGCAAUGGUGGUGACUCUCAUGCGGGCGGAGGAAAAGCUUGAUGGGGGCACAGCUUUAAUCUAACAAGCAACAUGGCGAGAACAAAAGCAUGGUGUCUUUCCUCGCGCUAUACGUGUAAUCUCAUCAAUGACGCUGCGUAGCAUUGUUAAGAGGCAGCACCCCUGCUUGUUAAAUGACCUUUGUUUGUAAUCAAUCAGCCGAAAUGUUACAGAAGCAAAGCAGGGCUCAUUACACAUCCGGCUCAGAGAAACGACAACACUCCACACAUCCAUC
rnacentral:lncRNA from 1 species